GGCAAGCCCAUGAAGUCCUAGCAACAAGGCAAAGGCUGAAUUUGCUCCAGACACCUAUGGAUUUGCCGUCGGUAAAUCAGGGUAACUCUGAUCUCUUCCACUGCUAACACAGACAGUUGUGAAUCUCCUGCCUCUAAAAUUACGCUCCACAAGACAAACUCAUCCACUCCUCCGUCUUCUCAUCCCCAAGGCCUAAGACAUCUCUGACCUUAUCUCCAAAUACAGUCACCUUCCAAGAUACUGAGGAUUAAGACAUCAACAUAUGGAUUUAAGGGGACACAAUUCAACCCCUUGCAAAGAGCUACAGAUAUCUUUAUUCUACUACUCAUAAAAUGUCUUAGGAAUACAAUAGCCAUUAGAACAUUAACUGGUUGCAAAAGGUUGAAUUGCUGAAGAAACCAGCUGUUUUUCAGAAAGAGAAAAAGCUUUCAUGCAGCAUUCUUCAUUUAGAAGUAUAUACAGCAAGUUAGUGUGUACAUUGAGAAAGACCCAGCAUAAAGUCACAGAGGACUCUGGUGCCAAAUCAUCUGAGUAUUUAUUUGAAUACUGGCUCUGUUUCUGACCAGCUGUGUGACUUUCCCAGCUUGCCUCCAACAACCUCUCCAUUCAAUUUUCCACAUACUGAGAGAGAUUUAUUGAUUACUCUGGCAAGAUACUGGGAUAGGCACAGAAGACCCAGCAGUGCCCAAAAAAACAACCUCUGUCCCACUCUGCCAUAAAGGACUCUACAGUCGAAGUGUUUGAGAAGGUGGAAUCUCCCUCUGUCAACCAGGCUGGAGUGCAUUGGCUUGAUGUCAGAUCUUGGAUCACCGCAGCCUCCGUCUCCUGGGUUCAAGUGAUUCUCCCGCCUCAGCCUCUCGAGCAGCUGGGACUACAGGAAGGCACCACCAUGCCUGGCUAAUUAUAAGUCUUUUGACUCACUCUUGUUCGUCCUACUUUCUUUUGCUUUUAUAUUCCAGUCAAACCAAAUUUCUCAUGGCUUUACGCAACUUUGACUUUAUAAGUUCUGCCCUACCAGCCUCUUGGACUUACCUUCUCUAUUUUUAACUGCCUAGUUCUUAUUAAAGACUGAAGUAAAGCACCUGCUUUCUGUGAAGCAUUUCUUCCAACUCCCUCACACAACAUGAAUUGCUCUCUGCUUUGUCUUCUAACAGUCUUUCAGUGCUACC
rnacentral:lncRNA from 1 species